GGCCUGGCUUUCUCCAUCUGCAAAGCAGGGAUGGUGUCUGCCUCAUUUAGAGGCUGGGGAGUGGGCAAGAUAAAAGGGUGGUUGAAGGGGCUUCAGCAUGAGCCUGGUGGUGUGUGAUGGAACAGACACCCAGCUGCCAAGGGGCAAAUACAUCCAUACCCCUGCCCCACCUUCUAGGCCCAGUAAAGUAGUAAAAUAGUAAAGCCACCAAUUGUCCCCACCUGUGUCUAGCUGCACAUCAAGGAAAUGUGUCUGGUCCAGGCAUUGUGACCUGUAAGGGACUCCACCCCGCCCUGCCACAGAGCAGUGGGUGGGGAACCCGGACCUACAUGGAGGCGCCUCCCCAGGAUGGACAUGGCACCCACAUUGGCACCCUCUGGUUUUGUCCCCACAGGAGUCCUGCCUCCCAGCACCCCUCUGUCAUGGUGAUCAAGACGGCUAGGGGGCAGGGAAGGCAAGAAGAGGGAGAAGACUCUGCUGUGACUCAUAGCAAAGUGAGAGCUUCUUCCCUCCUCUCUGCACCCCAAAUACGAUGAGGAGACUGAGUCCCAAGAUCACCCAGAUACAAUAAUAAUUGUAGUAUUAACAUACAAGUUACCAUUGAAGGAGCACCGGCUGCGUUCCAGGCACUGUGCUAGACACUUCACAUGCAGUGAACCUGUGAGGCAGAUCCAUGACUGGCAACAUUGCACAGAGGGGAAAACUGAGGCUCAAAGAAGGCUGCAUUAGAACUAAGCAAGCUAUUGAUACCACACUGACCUAAAAAUAGCAAAUGGCGAAGUCACUGGCCUACGAGGCUGGAGAAUCUUAACACCAGGUGGCCCAGGGCAUACCCAGAGCUUCUGGCAACCGAAAUCUGGAAAAAGUGGUAACAGUUCCAUCUGGUCAAAUGACAAAAGCCUAAAUUUGUAUCAAGUAGUGGCUGAUAACAGUCAAUUUCUACCUAGAAGGCACUACGUUGGAUCUAGGUGUUCAGGGUUCUUUAAGUCAUGCUCUGAAUGAAUAAGCAAUGAUUCCAAAGUAUGUGAAGCUAGCCUCACAGUUUGAAGUCCUUGAAAUCACAUUUUCCAAACAGCUUCAAAUGAAGAACAAGCUCAUACAAACUCAAGAGUGCUUGAUCGAUGAGCAACUCCAGCAAGUGAAGACAUCACAGUCUGGGGCAGUGCACGGCUGACCCCUUUACCUGUUGAACUAGCUGCUUUGGCCCUUGUUUCAAGGGAAAAGGGCUCUAGAGGAAUUGGGGGUUUGGUCCUCUUAAGGUCUGAGGUCUUUGGGUCUCUGGGUUUGGUCAGGCCCUUAGGGACUGUGGGCUUAGGCUGAGCAAGGGUAGCCUUGGGACAUGUCUCAAACUCUGGUGAAGUCAAGAAAGGCCACAGAGUGGAAAAUCCAGAAUCUACAUCCCAUUCGUGCCAGAGCCCUGUUCCAUCCACUCUCUGAGCAGAUGUCCCCCUACGAAGGCCCAAGGGACUCCUGAAAAGCAGGCAUGAAUAGACCACAGAGUUAAACAGUGCAAGGGCAUGCUGUGGACCCACCCACUUUGGGUAAAUCUUUUGACUUCUCUGUGAAUCAGAAAAUCAAUGGGAUAGACUAUGCCUCACAGGGCCACCCUAGGGAUCGAAUAAGAUGACGGAUACCAAAGUGCUUCAUUAACAAUAAAGUGCCAAAAAGAGUU
rnacentral:lncRNA from 1 species